UACGGGGGGGGCAAGCGUUGUUCGGAAUUACUGGGCGUAAAGGGCUCGUAGGCGGCCAACUAAAUCGGACGUGAAAUCCCUCGGCUUAACCGGGGAACUGCGUCCGAUACUGGAUGGCUUGAGUUUGGGAGAGGGAUGCGGAAUUCCAGGUGUAGCGGUGAAAUGGCGUAGAUAUCUGGAGGAACACCGGUGGCGAAGGCGCAUCCUGGACCAACACUGACGCUGAGGAGCGAAAGC
rnacentral:rRNA from 1 species